UACGUAGGUGGCUAGCGUUGUCCGGAUUUACUGGGCGUAAAGAGCGCGCAGGCGGUCGUUCAAGUCGAGUGUGAAAGCCCCCGGCUCAACUGGGGAGGGUCACUCGAUACUGAUCGACUCGAAGGCAGGAGAGGGAAGCGGAAUCCCCGGUGUAGUGGUGAAAUGCGUAGAUAUCGGGAGGAACACCAGUGGCGAAGGCGGCUUUCUGGACCGGUAUUGACGCUGAGG
rnacentral:rRNA from 1 species